CUUCCAACUUUCUCAGUGCAACUAACUCAUUUAAUCAUCUCAGUGACGCUAUAAGAUCAGGGAAAUUGCUCUCACUUUAUAAGUAAUUAAACCGAGGCACAGAGACAGUAAUUUUAAGACCACGUAGCCAGUUAUGUGGCUGGGUUUAAACCCAGAUCUUAAAUAGGAAAAUCCUACAAAGUCUUAGUUCAUUGGGAAGUGGAUUUUGUGAGUCAAUUCAAAAAUGUUCACAGCUUCUAAAAAGGGGGAAGAGAUUGUUCUAAUACCGCCCAGCCCACUCUGAGGUCCAGUUUGUACGUGAUAGGGAUAUUUAAUAUAGAAAGGUAUGCUGACAAGGGUGUGAGUCAUCUGCUGAAGAUAAAUACCAUCUGUGCAUGGAACAUGUGGUUAAAUAAGGGAAAUGCAUGUCAAUAAAGAGUGGCCACUUCCCCUGAAAGCUGUGCAGACCCAACACGGUAGCCGAGGGCCACUAUUCAUUGCUCUCUCACCAAGAGGUUUCUUGAAAAAGGAUGCAGAGUUGGACCUUGAAAUCAGUCAUUCAACACAUGUCCAUAUCUUUUCCAAGAAAUCAUAGUCACUGGUUUGAAUGGACUAAUCAAGACCUAUGAACUGCUGUCUGCACUAAUAUCCACUUUCCCAGAGAUCAAAGCCACGUGGCCGGAGAGAGAGACUUUCAGCUGCUUUUCUUGCAUCCUUUUCUGAUCAGAGUGAUUUAUCACUUGAAUGCCAUCAUCAGGUCACAGGCUUUUUACUUCAGAUAUUUGGUAUCAGACUGUUGAGUAUCGGAUGAUUUAGCAUUUGAGUUUAUGCUUAAUCUGUCUUAUAAACAACCGUGUGAUUUAAAAGAAAAAAAAUAUAAAACCUGUUAUAUGAGAAAAGCCUUGUCUACAGGACUGUAAGAAAUGGGAGGAGGCAAUACUUAGGAAAUCCAAUAGGCCUCAUUUAAUCUCUUCUUCCUUUAACCCAGGGAUAGACCUGCAUGUUGUGAUGAGGACGUUCCAUCCCUGAGCCAGGGUGAAAUGGUGCAGGGUGAGGGCAUAGUUCCUCACUGUGCAGGGAAGAAGAACAGGGAUCCUUCAGCCCCAUUUUUCAGAGGGAGAGGCUCUGAGAUUCCUGGCCCCUCUUGACCCUGAACUCACCGUUGUAUUUUUGGGAAGAAUACCCACAGUACUUCCACAGACAGAAAAACCUCGAGGGCAAGGCCCAAGUGUUAUGGUUCCUACUAACCUCAAAGAAUAAACUACAACAUUCUAAGCAAAUGGAUCUCUAUGUGGCCCCUGCCAGGAAAAUUGUCUGAGUCUGGUACCAACCCUUCAAAUCCAGAAGAGCUGGGCCCUAAGGUGGUACUGAGCAUGUAGAAGAGGGGUUGCA
rnacentral:lncRNA from 1 species